UUAUAAAAUAUAUUGCAAAAAUAAAUGAUUCUUGCCAGGCACAGUGGUGCACCCAGCACUUGGAAAGCUGAGACGGGAGGAUCAUUAUAAGUUUGAGCCAACCUGGGCUACAUAGUGAGUUCAAGGCCAGCCUGAACUACAUAUCCAGACUUUGUCUCAAAAAAAUCAACCAAUAAAAUGAUUUAAUGCUAAAUGACAAAACAUUCCCAUGUGCUGUGGAUUAACUAAGUAUAGAAAAUAAAACAAACUUGUGGAUUAAAGUGCCAAGGAUUAAAGUAUAUUAUUUUAUUUACUCUGUCAAUGUUUAUCAAACAUCUGCUUCAUUUUCCAGCUACCAUUCUAGGCACUGAGAACUCAGAAGCAAGCAAAACAAUCCUGCCCUUGUGGAGUUUACAUUCUAUAAAGUUAAACUGUGAGCAAAUAAUAGAAAUUUGUGAGGUGACAAUACAGAACAUUCCGAACAUCAAGAUAGAUAGGGAACAAACAAAGUAGGCCAAAGGAGUUGAGGAGCCAGAGGCAGGCACAGUUGUUGUGUGCUGGAUAGGCCAUGUGAUCAGGCCUCUUUAAUGACCUGACAUUUGAGCAGAGCGAGCCAGGAAGGCCCAAGGGGAAACAUCCCUGGAGAACAGGCCUGAAGCCAAGGCCCUGGGCCAAGAGUGGGCAUGGAGUGAGGAACAGCAGAGGCCAGCCUGUGCCCUGAGGGAGGAGGAAAGAGAGGACGGAGACCAAGCAGAGUCCUUCAGAGCAGGAUAGACUUGAAAGGAGAGGCUCAGACACCUAACCAGAACCAGAACCAACAACGACCCAGUUCAGCCAGAUAAGCGCACCAGCAGGAAGCAGCUGUUAUUUUCGGCAGGUCCCACUGAGAGCAUCAUUCUCCACAUCCAGACAGCCAUACUCAUCUUGCCAUCUAACCAGUUCUAAGGAGGCAGCACCAAGGACAAUCAUCAACAGAUGAGGCCACAUCUCAAAACAGAGGGGAGAAAUGGAGCUGACAGCUUGGUUGAGCGGGGCCAAGCGGGGCCGAGUGGGGCUGAGCAGUUGCAGCCUGACUGGGACCUGAUUCCUCCGGCUUGCUCCACCAGCUUGCAACCAAGACAAGAGGCACAAGGGGACAUAAAAGUCAUUGUCCUGAGCUGCAGAAGUGAACAACCAAGAGAGAGCCUCUCUCAGGCUCCCUGAUGAAAACAAGCUCACUGGAAAAAGUGAAGAGAAUCUCUGCAAUAAAGGCACACCAGACCACUGUGAUUGUUAAGUUGGAGGGAUCAGCAGCUCCCAUCAGAACCUGGAAUUUCUUCAGGGGAAAGACAGCUGAAACCUGCAAUAGAACCUUGCAGAGUGCAACCCUGCAGGAGGACAGGGAGCUCAACUGGGGACUUGCAGCCAGAAAUC
rnacentral:lncRNA from 1 species